rfam:Aspergillus fumigatus Af293 chromosome 1, whole genome shotgun sequence.
UCGAAUGAUGAUCUUCCUGAUAGGGACAUCUGAUGCAAAAAGCACAUGAUGCGAACAGGACAAGAGAUUUUAGUAGAUGCUUCUUGGAUAUCUGAAG